UUUAAAUAGCUGCAGUAAUUUAACUGUACAAAGGUAGCAUAAUCAUUAGUCUUUUAAUUGAGGUCUGGAAUGAAUGGUUUAACAAAAAGUUAACUUUAUUAAUUUAAUAAAAUUUGAAUUUAAUUUUUUGGUUAAAAAGCCAAAAUGUUUAAUUGGGACGAUAAGACCCUAUAGAUCUUUAAUUUUUUGUUUAAUUAAAACUUUUAGUAGUAUAAGUUUUUUUAAUUAAUAAAAUUUUGAUUGGGGUGAUUUAAAAAUUUUUACAACUUUUUAAUAUUUUUACAUAAAUAAAUGAAUAAUUUGAUCUAAAUUUUUUUUGAUUAUUAGAUUAAGAUACCUUAGGGAUAACAGCGUAAUAAGUUUGGAUAGUUCAUAUUGAUAAAUUUGUUUACGACCUCGAUGUUGAAUUAAUUAAAAAUUUUAAAGUAGAAAUUAAAGUUUUUAGGUCUGUUCGACCUUUAAUUGAUUACA
rnacentral:rRNA from 1 species